rnacentral:rRNA from 1 species
GACGAACGCUGGCGGCGUGCUUAACACAUGCAAGUCGAACGGAAAGGCCCUGCUUUUGUGGGGUGCUCGAGUGGCGAACGGGUGAGUAACACGUGAGUAACCUGCCCUUGACUUUGGGAUAACUUCAGGAAACUUGGUCUAAUACCGGAUAGGAGCUCCUGCUGCAUGGUGGUGGUUGGAAAGUUUCGGCGGUUGGGGAUGGACUCGCGGCUUAUCAGCUUGUUGGUGGGGUAGUGGCUUACCAAGGCUUUGACGGGUAGCCGGCCUGAGAGGGUGACCGGCCACAUUGGGACUGAGAUACGGCCCAGACUGCUACGGGAGGCAGCAGUGGGGAAUAUUGCACAAUGGGCGGAAGCCUGAUGCAGAAACGCAGCGUGCGGGAUGACGGCCUUCGGGUUGUAAACCGAUUUCGCCUGUGACGAAGAGUGAGUGACGGUAAUGGGUAAAGAAGCACCGGCUAACUACGUG